CAGGAAGCUGGUGUCUUCUAGAAAAGGGUCUGAGUCCGGGAGUGUCUGACUCCCUCCUCGACAGCGAUAAGCUCCAUGAUUUCAUCUCUGGAAAGUCAGAAAGGUUAGGUGACUUACUCUAGUUCACACAGCUAAUAAGAACUAGUGACAGGUAUCCAAACCCUUCAUUUGAUGUUUGACGGAUCCAGCUGGUCAUGGUGGGCCUGGGGGAGGCUCUCACUGAGGGCAUAAAAUUAGGGGGCACCAAAAAGUCAGUAAUCAAAGAAUAUCCUAAUUCACUGUUUUAUAAAAUGAGAAUUUAUGCAAAAAGCCAGACGAGCACAGACUCCAUACUGUAAAUAAGGCCUCCAUCAAUGGGACUGAUCUUUUCUUUCUUUUACUUCUGGCACAGCACUGAGCAAGUCCUGUUUUUGUUGAAAAAAUACGUUUUUACUAGUUUUUCAUAAUUAUAAACAGGAUGGUAAUGAGCAUCUUUUUUUUUUUUUUAAUUUUGGUACCGGGGAUUGAACUCAGGGGCACUGACCAUUGAGCCCC
rnacentral:lncRNA from 1 species